rnacentral:rRNA from 1 species
GGGGGGCGGGCUUACCUGCAGUCGAGCGGAGUGAUGGUGCUUGCACUAUCACUUAGCGGCGGACGGGUGAGUAAUGCUUAGGAAUCUGCCUAUUAGUGGGGGACAACAUUUCGAAAGGAAUGCUAAUACCGCAUACGUCCUACGGGAGAAAGCAGGGGAUCUUCGGACCUUGCGCUAAUAGAUGAGCCUAAGUCGGAUUAGCUAGUUGGUGGGGUAAAGGCCUACCAAGGCGACGAUCUGUAGCGGGUCUGAGAGGAUGAUCCGCCACACUGGGACUGAGACACGGCCCAGACUCCUACGGGAGGCAGCAGUGGGGAAUAUUGGACAAUGGGCGCAAGCCUGAUCCAGCCAUGCCGCGUGUGUGAAGAAGGCCUUAUGGUUGUAAAGCACUUUAAGCGAGGAGGAGGCUACUGAAGUUAAUACCUUCAGAUAGUGGACGUUACUCGCAGAAUAAGCACCGGCUAACUCUGUGCCAGCAGCCGCGGUAAUACAGAGGGUGCAAGCGUUAAUCGGAUUUACUGGGCGUAAAGCGCGCGUAGGCGGCUAAUUAAGUCAAAUGUGAAAUCCCCGAGCUUAACUUGGGAAUUGCAUUCGAUACUGGUUAGCUAGAGUGUGGGAGAGGAUGGUAGAAUUCCAGGUGUAGCGGUGAAAUGCGUAGAGAUCUGGAGGAAUACCGAUGGCGAAGGCAGCCAUCUGGCCUAACACUGACGCUGAGGUGCGAAAGCAUGGGGAGCAAACAGGAUUAGAUACCCUGGUAGUCCAUGCCGUAAACGAUGUCUACUAGCCGUUGGGGCCUUUGAGGCUUUAGUGGCGCAGCUAACGCGAUAAGUAGACCGCCUGGGGAGUACGGUCGCAAGACUAAAACUCAAAUGAAUUGACGGGGGCCCGCACAAGCGGUGGAGCAUGUGGUUUAAUUCGAUGCAACGCGAAGAACCUUACCUGGCCUUGACAUAGUAAAACUUUCCAGAGAUGGAUUGGUGGCUUCGGGAACUUACCUACAGGGGGCUGCAUGGCUGUCGCCAGCUCCGGG